UUGGAAAGAUGACAGAUGGUAGUUUCAAUGAUAAUCAUAAUGAUCAUCAUCAUCAUCAUCAUUAUCACUA